GCCGGAGUGGCGGAACUGGUAGACGCGGGGGACUUAAAAUCCCCGGCCCUUCGGGGCGUGCGGGUUCGAGUCCCGCCUCCGGCA
rnacentral:tRNA from 1 species